GGCUGGUUGGCGCAAUGGUAGCGCGUGCCCCUCCUAUCGCCGCCGGCAAGGGCAAGGUUGCGGGUUCGAGUCCCGUGCUGGUCG
rfam:Coniosporium apollinis CBS 100218 chromosome Tnknown supercont1.7, whole genome shotgun sequence.